rnacentral:rRNA from 1 species
CAGUCGCCACGGGAAUACGGAGGGUGCAAGCGUUAAUCGGAAUUAUUGGGCGUAAAGCGUGCGCAGGCGGUUUUUUAAGUCUGGUGUCUAAGUGCGGGGCUCAACCCCGUGACGCACUGGAAACUGGGAGACUUGAGUGCAGUAGAGGAGAGCGGAAUUCCACGUGUAGCGGUGAAGUGCGUAGAGACGUGGAGGAAUACCGAUGGCGAAGGCAGCCCCCUGGGCCAAUACUGACGCUCAUGCACGAAAGCGUGGGGAGCAAACAGGAUUAGAUACCCCUGUAGUCCCUGUCUCUUAUACC